rnacentral:lncRNA from 1 species
AGAUAGAAAUUGUUGUCAGAAGGUUUGGAGUUCGAAUUUAAUGGAUUUCCCUCUCAGUGCUGGUAAGAAGGCUUCCUACCCCUUCAUGGGUGCAGCCUGCUUGGCCAUUUGACCAGAUGUGAGUUUCCAUUCAGUCAGGCGAAAAUAAAUGUUAUCAAGCCUUCCCUUUCAAAGUUGUCUUGAAUUUUUACAGCAGGAUACUUUCUUUCAAGCUGUCUUCUUUCUGAGACCAAGUAUUGUUCCAAUUUUAUGCGUUUUGUAGUUGUUGAUAACUUAUGAUCGCCGCAUCCUAGGAAAGGAAAUUAUGCUGAGUGUUUCUCCAUUCUUCUUUUUGACUAAACAGCUUGACUCCAAAUUAUUUAUAAAUAUAUAUAUAUAUUUAAACAAUUUAUGGAACCCACACAACAAAACAUCUUGGCUGUGCUGAGAUCUUCCAUUGCUCAGGCCGGUUAACAGCCCCCAACACAUACCAAGCAAUACAUACCAAAAGUAGAGAGGUAGGGAGCAGAAUGUUGUUCUGCCUUGAAACUAUUUCUGCACUUUUUUCCUCAGGAAGUGAUUGGGAAAGAGUGACUUGCGCUAAAUGGUUGCAUCACCUUCUGAGCAAUGGGAGCUGCCCGUCAGAAGGAGAGGGAUCUGAUGCUGAAUUUCAGCUUGCGGAGUGGAGGGUAUGA